GUACCAUCUGGACGUUGACUGGCUGGAAUAAAUGUUCCACCUAUGAGACAAAUAAAAGAUACAAUGUUCAAAAGAAUCAUAAAUUUGAUUUAACUAAUGAGAACAUAAAUUUAAUGUUUUAAACUCUUAUUAAAUUGUUUAUUAAAUUUGUUGGGAAGAACUAACAUUAAUUAAAAAAUACAAAAUUAAAAUUAAAAGAAAUUUGCACAUUGGAUAAAUAACAAUAUACAAGAUUAUGUAGAUAAACUGUAAAAAUUUUUGAGGUUAAAAGCAACAAGUUUUAUAAAAAAAAAAAAAAAUUAUAUAGAAAGAAAUAGAAAAAAUUGUUGAGGUUACAAGCAAGAGGCUUUGUAAAAUAUAAUAUGAAAAUUUAAUAAUAUAUAAAAAAAAACAUAAUUACCUUGUUCAUCCUUUAUAUAAGUAGACGCCAUGAUUAUUCAACACGAUUGGUAGUGUGUGUUCAAACUAUUUUUAUUAUAAUUCUAAAAACUUCCUACUAUCCUCAUGUUAUGAUAUAACUGUAUUUAUUGUAACCACUGAUUUGGUGUAUGUGAGGUUUUUUUGAGGACUCGUACGUCAAUGUAUUUCCUCAAAUUCUGUUUACAUAGGUCCGAGAUCUCUUACGGUAUAUAACAGUAGUAAUAUACUAUAAUAUUGUACAGAGCUGUUUUUAUACCAAUAAAAACGGCAGUAUUAUAUAUAAUCUGAUAAUUUAUGAUAGCAUAACAUAAUUAUCAUAACCUGAUAAUUGAAAAAUUUUUAUGAAAGAACGUUAUAUAUAUAUCAUGUAUUGGCAUUUUUAAAUUAUAUAUUUUCGAUCGUACAAAUGGAGGUUAUUUUUUAUCAUUUAUCUCGAAUUUGAAUGGUCGAUAAUAACAUUUAAACAACUAAUAUCGAUUAUCUCGAUCUCACGAAAAUCGUCCGGCAAAGUAAAAAAUUUCUUAUAAAUUUACAAAGAUCUCUAACAAAUUUUUAAUUAUCUCAAUCAUACGCGAUUAAUUAUUAAGAAAAAUCUAAAUUGUUUGUAUAUGCGUAUUAAAUUAUAACAUUUUUAAUGAUACAUAAUCUAAUGUUUAAAUAAUUUUUACAUUAAGUCUGUUCAUCAUCCUUAAUUUUACAAUGAUUUACGCUAACAAUGAGUACAGGCUUAGUUCUUGAACAAUUUUGAUGAACAAAAUUUUAUUAUAUACAAAUGAAGAUUCAAGCAAGGGACAUGGUUUUUUCGAACUUAAAAAAACUUUAGUUUGAUUUUACUUGGGUGGAGCGAUUUUCAAAAUGUCCAUUCCAGAUUUUCAGUUCCUUCGUUCUCACUCUUGAUUUCUCAUCGAACGACCGAUCAAUUUUACGUUAUGUAUCACAUAAAACAUUACAUAGAAUCUAAAACAAUGUCUACAACCGAAAGAUUUUCUCCUAAUGCAUAUGAUAUUCAGGAGGAAAAUGAUCACUAUGACUUGGUUCUAAGUUAAAAAAUAAUUAUUCUUGCAAAGCAAAUUAUUAUGCGUUUUAAUAUAAUAACCAAACCAAAAUUGUUCUAAUAAACAAGUACCUGAAAUAAAGAAUGUAUCAUGUGCAUCUCGUGCAGGAUGCUGUUGUGGUUGGAACAAGGCAUCAAAAUUCCAAAAUGAGCUUUCAACGUAAUUAUUUGUAGGCAUCUCUGUAAAUCUGAAAAAUAUAAUGUCAAAUUUUAUUUUUUUUUGUGUCUUUUAAAUAUAUGCAUUGAUAUAAUAAUUAAAAUAUUGAAAGUUAACAUAUAUAUAUCAUAAUUUUAUUUUGUAAACAAAUAUUUGU